rnacentral:rRNA from 1 species
GUGAGGAAUUUUCCGCAAUGGGCGAAAGCCUGACGGAGCAAUGCCGCGUGAAGGAUGAAGGCCUAUGGGUUGUAAACUUCUUUUCUCAGAAAAGAAUUAUGACGGUAUCUGAGGAAUAAGCAUCGGCUAACUCUGUGCCAGCAGCCGCGGUAAGACAGAGGAUGCAAGCGUUAUCCGGAAUGAUUGGGCGUAAAGCGUCUGUAGGUUGUUUAAAAAGUAUUCUGUCAAAGAUUAGGGCUUAACCCUAGAUAGGCAGAAUAAACUUUUAAGCUAGAGUUUGGUAGAGGCAGAGGGAAUUCCCGGUGGAGCGGUGAAAUGCUUAGAUAUCGGGAGGAACACCAAAGGCGAAGGCACUCUGCUGGGCCAAUACUAACACUGAGAGACGAAAGCGAGGGGAGCAAAUGGGAUUAGAUACCCCUGUAGUCC